GGAUGCGAUCAUACCAGCACUAAAGCACCGGAUCCCAUCAGAACUCCAAAGUUAAGCGUGCUUGGGCGAGAGUAGUACUAAGAUGGGUGACCUCCUAGGAAGUCCUCGUGUUGCAUUCC
rnacentral:rRNA from 2 species